rnacentral:lncRNA from 1 species
CUCUGUCUUCUUAACUGAUUUCCAGGAUCCUGUUUCCUAAGAGGGAGGGGCUCAGCCAGUAUUCAUCAAGUCUUCGUGUAUAGCUGAUUUUAUCCCCAACAAAUUGGUGUCAGAAGUUUGGGUGCAAUUGGAGACGGAAGGUAAUUCUCAUCCUCCACACUUUGCACAUUUAAAAAAAUAAAUACAUUUUAAAGGGGAUUUCCCUGCAUAAUGUCUAGACAUGAUAUUUUUUUUAAGUCUAAGGUACACGUUUAUGACUCCUUAGGUAGGCAGUUUUGUGCACAAUUGUCUAUGGUAGACAAUUCCUCCUUGGUAGAGGUUCACCUUUGGCAGGUGGUAAAAAGAUUUUCAAGCCUUUGGUAGGCUGUCAUGUAAGGUAAUGUACAUGUGGGUUUUGCAGACUAAAAUGGUUUAAAGAAUAAAAAAAUAAAAAAAAGAGAGAGAGUUAGAAACGUACUUGAUGAGUAUCUUGGCUGUACUCCAACCUCUGUUUUGCUUACUUUUGAUAUACAGGGCAAGCAGAAUUAUUAGGCAAAUGAGUAUUUUGACCACAUCAUCCUCUUUAUGCAUGUUGUCUUACUCCAAGCUGUAUAGGCUCGAAAGCCUACUACCAAUUAAGCAUAUUAGGUGAUGUGCAUCUCUGUAAUGAGAAGGGGUGUGGUCUAAUGACAUCAACACCCUAUAUCAGGUGUGCAUAAUUAUUAGGCAACUUCCUUUCCUUUGGCAAAAUGGGUCAAAAGAAGGACUUGACAUGCUCAGAAAAGUCAAAAAUAGUGAGAUAUCUUGCAGAGGAAUGCAGCACUCUUAAAAUUGCAAAGCUUCUGAAGCGUGAUCAUCGAACAAUCAAGCGUUUCAUUCAAAAUAGUCAACAGGGUCGCAAGAAGCGUGUGGAAAAACCAAGGCGCAAAAUAACUGCCCAUGAACUGAGAAAAGUCAAGCGUGCAGCUGCCACGAUGCCACUUGCCACCAGUUUGGCCAUAUUUCAGAGCUGCAACAUCACUGGAGUGCCCAAAAGCACAAGGUGUGCAAUACUCAGAGACAUGGCAAGGUAAGAAAGGCUGAAAGACGACCACCACUGAACAAGACACACAAGCUGAAACGUCAAGACUGGGCCAAGAAAUAUCUCAAGACUGAUUUUUCUAAGGUUUUAUGGACUGAUGAAAUGAGAGUGAGUCUUGAUGAGCCAGAUGGAUGGGCCCGUGGCUGGAUUGGUAAAGGGCAGAGAGCUCCAGUCCGACUCAGACACCAGCAAGGUGGAGGUGGAGUACUGGUUUGGGCUGGUAUCAUCAAAGAUGAGCUUCUGGGGCCUUUUCGGGUUGAGGAUGGAGUCAAGCUCAACUCCCAGUCCUACUGCCAGUUCCUGGAAGACACCUUCUUCAAGCAGUGGUACAGGAAGAAGUCUGCAUCCUUCAAGAAAAACAUGAUUUUCAUGCAGGACAAUGCUCCAUCACACGCGUCCAAGUACUCCACAGCGUGGCUGGCAAGAAAGGGUAUAAAAGAAGAAAAUCUAAUGACAUAGCCUCCUUGUUCACCUGAUCUGAACCCCAUUGAGAACCUGUGGUCCAUCAUCAAAUGUGAGAUUUACAAGGAGGGAAAACAGUACACCUCUCUGAACAGUGUCUGGGAGGCUGUGGUUGCUGCUGCAUGCAAUGUUGAUGGUGAACAGAUCAAAACACUGACAGAAUCCAUGGAUGGCAGGCUUUUGAGUGUCCUUGCAAAGAAAGGUGGCUAUAUUGGUCACUGAUUUGUUUUUGUUUUGUUUUUGAAUGUCAGAAAUGUAUAUUUGUGAAUGUUGAGAUGUUAUAUUGGUUUCACUGGUAAUAAUAAAUAAUUGAAAUGGGUAUAUAUUUGUUUUUUGUUAAGUUGCCUAAUAAUUAUGCACAGUAAUAGUCACCUGCACACACAGAUAUCCCCCUAACAUAGCUAUAACUAAAACAAACUAAAAACUACUUCCAAAAAUAUUCAGCUUUGAUAUUAAUGAGUUUUUUGGGUUCAUUGAGAGCAUGGUUGUUGUUCAAUAAUAAAAUUAAUCCUCAAAAAUACAACUUGCCUAAUAAUUCUGCACACCCUGUAUCUCUGCUGUUUGGCUUUUGUGUUUUUUUUAAUAAUAUAUAAAUAACUUUGCAAGGGAUUGGAAUUACAGACAGAAAAGAUGAAAUCCAUUUUAACUACUCUGCAGUGGUAGUUAUAUUUUUAAAAAACGUACAGAAUUUGGCUACCAUGUUUUUAAACAGAAUAAAAACAGAUUUCUCUUUGAGAAAUGGGUACUUCACAAUGUAAAAAAUAUCCGUCCCCUAAUCCCGGGUAAAAUUGCAAACAGUAUGUUGCUUGAAUAUAUCCCCUACCCUGUUUAACAAGAGGGGAUAAGAAUUAAAGGAAUAAAAUGAUUAAGGGAAUGUCAAAAGUACAAGUGAAUGUGAUGAUGAUAAAGAGGAAUAAGAGAAAAAAAUAGAGGUUAAUUAAGGGGGGCUACAAAUUCUAGGACUAACAUUGUUUCUCUGCAUGUAUGAUUGUAAACAUGAUGAGCCCCUCCCUCUGAGCCAUUUAUUUUCAUAUUGGGACAAAAAGUCACUUCAUUAGUUGAAAACGUCAAACACAUUGAUUGUGACCCAAACUGUGCAGAAGUGGAUUUGAAGUUUGGUUAUAGAAUGUAGGAUCAGAAAACCAUGGACAAAGGUUUUUACCUGUUGUUAUGACUUUUGGAACUCAAAUUGACUGGUCCAAAUUUUCACAUGCCUUUAACAUGGAGUAGUAUAAAUAUGUUGAGUCUUUGAGCAUUCUGACAAAUGCAGGUGAUACCAUGUCUGUGUAAUCUGGUCCAAAUGUUCUAUAAGCGUAUAAGAGAGAAUUUCUAUUGACAGGGUACAUAUGUUGCAACUGGUUAAUGCAAAUGUUUAAGUCAAACGCAUUAUAUGGCCGUACGGGAUCCCUAAAAAGAAAAAAAAAAAACUUUGGUACCAGAACUCUUAAAUAAAUUUAAUACAAACUAAAAUUGAUAUACCUUACAAUAAUAUGUUCUGAAUAGAGCUGUUAAAAGUUUAUUCUGUGUAAAUGGUGAUUGUGAUAAAUGUGUGGUUUGGGUAACUCAUUUUAAAGUGUGCAGUUUAAUUGUCAUGUAUGUUAAUGGGUAUUUUGCUGUGUUAUUUUAAAUUAUAUUUGAAUAAGUUUGUCUCAGUAUUGAUACAGAUGGAAAUGGCAGUAUAAUAUAUUAAAUAACUGAUUUAUUAUUGAAUACUCGUCCAAGAGCAAUAGGAAUUGUAGUCUUAAGCAAAAUAAGGGGGAGGCUGUUUUUGUAAGUUUUGGCUGAUUUCCAAAAUUCUGUUGCAAUAAUGGACGUCUUGCCAAAAUUUGGCUUUCCUGUCCAGUUGCCAGGUUCUCUGAUCUAAUCUUAAAGCUGUACUGCAUGCAUAGUUUGCACAAAUGCAUAAUGCACAAACAUGGGAACCUACAUUAUGUCUGUGUUUCUUUUGAGGGACACCGAGUGUGACAUUUAUUAAUUUAUUUUGGAUUUAGUUAAUUGCCUGUCCAUGAAUAAGUUUUUUGUAUUGUCAAGUCUGCUGGAUAUCUGCUACAUUCGUUGUGUUCUGUGUUAUAAGAUGACAUGUGUGAUAUUACAAUGAGUAUGAAGAAUAUUUAAAGAAUAUUUGCAUGUCAUUAACGCAAGCAAAAACAUCUGCUUUUCAAAAUCAUGGAUCCACGUUUCCAUUAGGGGAGUAUUUAGAGUUAACUCUACUUUUAAAGUGCAUUGCAUUAUUUAAAUCAAAGAAAAAGAAAAAAUUGUUAUCUUUAACAUAAAAAAUUGUUAUGUUAUAUGGUUAUAUAAAAAGAAAAAAUGAAUGGAUGUAUAGGAUAGGUUUUUUCCAAGAUUAAGAUUCAUUUAGUAUGCCUCAUUGAUUAUAACGUAAUGAUGAAAUGGUAUUUUUAAUAGAGAUCAGACAAUUUCUUUGAUUAUAAGUGAGGCAAUUCUAAACUACUGUAUUAUAUUUGUAUUGGUAAAUUGAAAGCAUUUUGCAGACCCAGAAGAGAAUAAAUAAUAUAAUAAUUAUAAAAGGAACCAUACUAUGGGAAGAGGUCACCCUAUUAACUCGCUAAGGGGUUAAACUCAUUUUUGAUAAGCAUAUAAAAUUUAGUUUUUGUGGUUAGACUUUUGAUACUCAAUUGAUGUAUUACAACCAUAUCCUUGCAGGUAUAGGAAACAGCUGCAAUAUGAUUUUAAUAUUUGCUAUAUAUUAGUGUUUUUAAUGUAUUCUGACAGUGGAAAAGUACCUAACUGCAUGUCUGCAUUACACUUAUGACCCAGACUGUCAGUAUUGCAAACCCUAUAUGAAGACUCCGCUUUCACUGUUUAUGUAUACACCCCUAGACAACUGUGCUAUACAUACACAAUUUAAAUAUACAAUAAAUCUUCAAAAGCUUAUUAAUAUUAUAUCUGUGUGGUACACAAAGAGGGGUACACAAAGAGGGGGUGGGGGGUGAGUUAGGUAAUCUCGACCUGCAUAAGGAAUAUGCUUCCUCCUUGUUCACUUUUGGUCAAACUGUUGGCCUGUGACUGGCCCUCUUUGACCCCAACUGAAUUUCUUGGGAAGAUUCAUGAGAAAGAUACAUCAGGUUGUUUUGAUAUAAAGAAAGAGGGAAAAGUAUGUUGUAUCGGUCACAAAUGAUUGUGAUCUUAAGCAGACGAGACAGGGACAUUUGGGAGGUGAUAGGAGAUUGAAUCAGAAAAGUUUUAGAGGCAGAGGUAAAGGAUUUGAUCAAAGGGUCUAACUUUUAUAGAGGUGGUAACUUCAGCAUUGGUGGAACACACUGUUUUAAUUGUGGAUAGCAGGGGUUCACCCCAAGGUGCUCGUGGUGAACCCGGUUCUCCCGGUCAAGCUGGCCCCACUGGUACUCCUGGUAUUGCUGGUGCCCCUGGCUUCCCUGGUGCCUGUGGUGUUCCUGGACCUCAAGGCCCCGGAGGUUCCCCUGGUGAACCUGGUGCUCAAGGAAACAAAGGAGAACCCGGUGCUAAGGGAGAACCUGACCCAGCUGGUGUUCAAGGACCCACCCUGGCAGGUUCCUCAAUACCAACCAAAGCUUCCAACCUAUACCCACACCCAACAACCCCAGCCUAAUACACAGAUGGUUCAUGUUUUUAAUACUUUAUAUAUAGUUUGGAGUGAUAAAACAGUAUUAAUGCUGGCUCUUAGAUGAUGUACAAGCUGAAGUUGGGACCUAGACAUUGUUUGCAUAGGCUGCGCAAUGUGAAAUAACUAAAAUAAAAUAGGAUAAUAAUAAGUAUGCUUAGUCAAUUUGUAAUGUUGUAUCAUAUAGGCAUCUGCAAUAAAAUAAGUGGGUUUCCAAGACCUGACAAGUGAGAGCAACUUAAUAUAACAUAAGUCUACAGUUUGCUGUCCCUUCCUUAUCAGAGGCCACUUGCAACCUUAACACAGCAUGACAACUCUUCCAAAACCUGUAUUAAACAAAGCACUUUAGAAUAAUAGUAAUUCAUUUUGUUUCUCCUAUUUCAUUCCUAGUUGUUCUGGACAAAAAGAUUGUUUAAGUGGGAUAACUGUACAGUAUGAAAAUAUGAUCACACACAUACAGAACUGGUGGCUUUUUGGACAUCGGAAUCUAUAAAAAGUUUUGGUUUCCAAAAAUGUUAUCGGGGUCCACACAAUUUUUGACAGACUUCAGCAUUCCAAUUUUAUUAAAGUAAUUAAUUGAGAUUAUCAAAUCAAGAUUUAAGUUUAAGAACAGUAUUUUAUUGGGAAUUAUUCCAAUAUGUAUAUGUUAGUGUUUUAGUACUCAUCCUGUCCAAAAAGCAUUUAUAUAGUGUAAGUGCUUCUCGCAUCCAUACAAAGGCAUUCCAAAGGGAAAUUGUGUACAAAUUCAUACAGGACAAAUUUCAUGAAUUAUAAGCAAAGCUAAGAGAAGUACAUGUUACAAAAGUUAAGGGUUUAGCUUUAGUCUCUAAUUUGAAUUUAGCCUAGAUAAUUAAUUUAUUGAUGUCGUACUAAUCCUUGUGUUUGUAUGAUUAUAGAGGCCGUACUGGAGUAUUUGUGCCGCCUGAUAUUUGGGACUACACACCAAUCUCUCUGGCUGACCUACCUACCUACCUGAUUGCAAUUAAAUCUGUUUGGUCAAAAUCCAUGCUGGCCGAAGAAACUGAGAUGCUUACUUAUGAGGACAUAAACUAACUUGGAAAGUCCUGAAGGUGCAGUGCUGUCUAAUGCUGCUAGUUCUGUAUUAACCCUUUCAACAAUUUGGGUGUUGCACACAGCAUUGUGGUGAACAUCCAGCAAACAGAAGAAUUAAGAACUAUGUGGAAGCUGACAUUGUUUUGUUGUCAGCCAUAUUGCUACCCUUAGCUAUUUUAUGGUGUCUAAGAUUAUGGAGCAAAGUUUAUGGUGUCUAAGAUUCUUUAUACUCCUUGAAAGACUUAUUCUAUUUUUCUGGACUAUGCUGGUCUAUUGAACAAUUUUGUUUAUUUUUAUUUUUGUAGAGUUAGCCGGAGAGAGAGGAAGUGUUAGCUUACUCAGGCAUGGAUGUACUAUGUGUGUCAUUGAUGUAUGUUGAGUGUACCAAGGAUGGAUUCCCAUUUAUUAAGUGUAGAUAUGACUGGGCUGUCGAAAUAGGGAUGUGAUUAGGAGACAUA